rnacentral:rRNA from 2 species
GACGAACCGAGCGAACGUUGUUCGGAAUCACUGGGCUUAAAGGGCGCGUAGGCGGGCUGUCAAGUCUGGGGUGAAAUCCCACGGCUCAACCGUGGAACUGCCUCAGAUACUGACGGCCUCGAGGGAGGUAGGGGCGAGCGGAACGGGUGGUGGAGCGGUGAAAUGCGUUGAUAUCACUCGGAACUCCGGUGGCGAAAGCGGCUCGCUGGAUCUCUUCUGACGCUGAGGCGCGAAAGCUAGGGGAGCAAACGGG